UAGGACAUUAUGACGUGCUUGGGUUC
rnacentral:piRNA from 1 species